rnacentral:rRNA from 1 species
CUUUACUGUAGCCUGGAAUUGGGUUCGGGCUUUGCAUGCGCAGGAUAGGUGGGAGGCUGAGAGACAUCCCUUGUGGGGGGUGUGGAGCCAACGGUGAGAUACCACUCUUGUGAAGCUAGAAUUCUAACCCUAAGCCGUGAUCCGGCUAGGGAACCGUUUCAGGUGGGCAGUUUGACUGGGGCGGUCGCCUCCCAAAAGGUAACGGAGGCGCGCAAAGGUUCUCUCAGGCUGGCUGGAAGUCAGCCGUAGAGUGUAAAGGCAUAGGAGAGCUUGACUGUGAGACCUACAAGUCGAACAGGGACGAAGGUCGGCCUUAGUGAUCCGACGGCGCUGAGUGGAAGGGCCGUCGCUAAACGGAUAAAAGUUA